rnacentral:rRNA from 1 species
GAUCAUGGCUCAGGAUGAACGCUGGCGGCGUGCCUAACACAUGCAAGUCGAACGGACUUUUCAUGAAGCCUAGCGAUUGAAAAGUUAGUGGCGGACGGGUGAGUAACGCGUGGGUAACCUGCCUUGUACUGGGGGACAACAGUUGGAAACGACUGCUAAUACCGCAUAAGCGCACAGCUUCGCAUGAAGCAGUGUGAAAAACUCCGGUGGUACAAGAUGGACCCGCGUCUGAUUAGCUUGGG